rnacentral:rRNA from 1 species
AAGCUCGUAGUUGAAUUUCGGGGUUAGUAGGUUGGUCAUGCCUCUGGUAUGUACUGGUCUCACUGAUUCCUCCUUCCUUAUGAACCGUAAUGCCAUUAAUUUGGUGUUGCGGGGGAAUUUGGACUGUUACUUUGAAAAAAUUAGAGUGUUUAAAGCAAGCUAACGCUUGAAUACAUUAGCAUGGAAUAAUGAAAUAGGACGUUCGAUCUUAUUUUGUUUGGUUUUCUAGGAUUGACGUAAUGAUUAAUAGGGAUAGUUGGGU